AUGUUAACACCAAUCAUUGAGUAAGUAUAUCUUUAUAAUUAAUAGCUUCGUUUUUCCCUUUUGAAACCAAGAAUAUAUGCAUUGAGUUUAUUUUACAAAUGGAUUACGUGGUCCCACACUGUAAAAAUAUCGAAAAUGGCCUUUUAAUUUCCGUGCGUCUGGAAAACUGCGUAUGGCAGUUACUGUAUGUCGGACGUGGUUUGUUGUUUACUCGUUUGGUAGCUACGGAAAUGUGUGUUGUUUUGGAUUCUGUAUAUCGUCAAUGGAGAUCUUAUAUGUAACCGAGUCGUCUGGCAAUCAAUGCAAUAUUAACGCUAUUAAUGUCAGUAAUGGACAAAGCGUUACAACGUACAAGGGAAGUACGGCGACUUCGCAUACACUCUGCGUCUUAAAUGAUGAUUACAUUUUCUCUGCCGCGCCGAAUAAAGCGCUCUUGAACGUUUUUGAACUAAGCAGAAAAGGCCAGCACCCGAAAAAGAUCGUUACACCCGGUGUUGUUAAAUCGCUAUGUGUAAGUAAUGACGGCUUCUUUAUUGCUGCGGGUAUUGAACAGAACGUUCUUUUAUGGGAUCUUUCAAGCGGGGAACUUCUUUGCAUUAUGUCACGGCAUUACCAGGAGGUAACAACAUUGACAUUUACAUACGAUGCUAUGUAUCUUAUAUCAAGUGGCAAAGAUGGCAUAGUGUCAGUCUGGAGACUAGCUGACAUGAUUGACAUUUCAAAGCAAAAUACCAACAAGAAUAAAGAACCUUACAUCUGCUGGUCAUCACAUGCAUCGCCUGUGUCAAAGUUAUGUUCCAGCACUAUUGGAUACCGUGUAUACAGCGCGUCACUGGACCAAAGUGUCAAAGUUCAUGAUAUUAAUCUUGGUGAAACGCUGCUAACUAUUGUUUUCAAUACUGCUGUUGUUUCUCUCACUGUUGACUCCACUGAUACAUAUCUGUAUGCUGGUGGCUACGAUGGGAGAAUCUACCCUGUAAAUAUGUCGGCAUCCGCAAAGAAACUGAGACAACAAACCAAUAAAUCAAUCAACUUUGAAUCUGAUGGUGCAGCCGGCGCUUCUCUUCAGCCACUACAAGGCCACACACAGUCUGUGACCUGCAUUAUGUGCAACAUGGACUGUAGUUUGUUAGCAUCUGGCUCAAUGGACGGAAAUGUUAAAAUUUGGGAUGUUUUAAGCGCACAGUGCUUGCGAACUUUCAAACAGAAUGGAUCAGUAACUAACCUAUUAUUAACCAUGACCCCUUUCUCACUUGCAUUACCUGACCAUAAACCUGCAUUGGUAUUUCCCAAACUAGCUCACUCUGUGCAUGAUGGUAGUGAAACAGAUAAAAAUAGAAAAAUGCACCGUCUUGAUUUUAAUUCUCCAGUAUGUUCAUAUUCACCUUAUAACAAUACUGCCAAUUCUGCUCUUUUUAAGAAAACUAGAACACUUGAUAAAAGUUUAAACAGUGAUUUGCAAAUUCAAACUUUAAAGCAAGAAAUAUCAAUUCUUAAAGUAGAAAAUCAUAAACUGUAUGAUCUGGCAUUAAAUAAACUAAUGUGAAAUUUUAUGUUUUUAAAGAAUAACUUUUUGGAUGGUGUCUUAAUCUAACAAUGCUUAAGCUGUCUUAACAGGUACACCUUUGGGUUAUGAGCUAGUAACAUCAAUCAUGGGCAGUUUGUUCUCAUGUUGUUUGGGAAAUGAUUAUGAAACUCCCGAUCCUGAAGUAAGAAGACAACAAAUGCUUGAAGCUGCAGAAAGGCGCAAACAAGAAUAUGAAAACAGGGGGCUAAAAGAUCCCGAAGGGGUUAAAGCAAAGCAACGGAAACGUGAAGCUGCAGAAAAGUCACAAGAACAGAUUGGAUCAAAUGAAAACAACUUGCGUUGGCAAGUUAGCUAAACCUGGAUUUAAAAUAUAUAUUGAUUUUCUUUAAGUUUAGCAUUGUGAAUAUUUAUUUGAACAUGGUGUCUAUUGAUUUGCUUUUCUAAUAUGACGGGAAAAUAUCUGAAUUUUUUGUUGUGUUUUAUGGUGUUUCAGUUUUUGUUUUUAUAUUUAAAGAAUGUCACAGUUUUUUGGCCGUUUUUGCAGCAAGGUUAGCAAACAUUGAGAAUUGCACUUGAUUAUAUUUUACAUGUUUUUUAAAUGUUUAAUUAUGAGAUUUAUUUAUGUUUUAAACAUGUUGCAUGUUACCAUUACACCUUUUUCUGCUUUUAUGGCAAAUAAAUUAUUUAAAACACUG